CAUUUUCCUAGGCAACUAACUGCUAAAUUCCAAGCGGUGGCUGAGGAAAGAAAUAGAAGGUUGCUUGCAAAGUCCAAGCGGCGACCGACCGAAAACAAGGAGAAGCUAUCUGCCAAUAUCUUUGGGCGGUGGCCGAGAGGAAAACAAAAACUUCAAUUCCUUUCCUUUCCAACCCAACACCGAGAGUAAAACUGAGAGAGUGGGAUAGAAGGGUUAGCUAGCUUCAUCACCAACUAACCAAAAACAAGGAGGAGUACAGCGAGGAAAGCAGGAGAAGCUCGAGCUAGGACCUUGAGGAACCGAAUCAGGGAGAGCUAGAGCAGUCGGCAAUUUCAGAUUCUAAGAAGAAAAUAAAAAGGUAAAAUUUUGUAAACCUCCUGCUUAUUUAGUGUAAUUGAAUGUUUAAGCUGUGUAUAAACUUUAGCUAGGAAAAAUGAGUUCUUGGUUGGAAAAAGAAACUUUGUGCAGAACCGAAUGGCAGCUGGGAAGAAAAUUGCAGAAAUGGGGAAUGGAAACUGGAAAUUGUAGCUUGUUAUCAAUGUUUCUUUGGAGAAUAAUGAUAGGAAAUGCAUGUUAUACAUUACCUUAAGUUUUAUAAGAGGUUUAAUCAGCUAAACAUGGGCUUUAUACGUUGGGUUUAGCUACGAAAUCAGUUCUGGUUCAAGGAAAACAGUAUACAUCAGAAAUGGUAAGUAAGAGCAGAAAUGAGCUAUGGUUCUGUUUAGCUCUUGAAAUUAGUGACACGUUUUGUUCAGUCUUGAGUUAUACCUUACAUGCUAGCUGUAACCUGAGACUGAAGGGGAAUCCUAAGGAACUUACAAAUGAUAUCUUGUUGAUAUACGCGUGCGAAAGCAUGCAAAUCUGAUGCAUGCAUGGCUGCACCAGAUUUGCAGCUAGCUGCAGAAACGAAAACGAACUCAGUUUUUUUUUUUUUUUUCCUCCUUUGAAUCCUGGCCAUGAACGACCUUGUUUAGCUUAGGAUAACCUGCAACAAACAAGGUUAAAGCAAGUAGAAAACUGAAGUGAACAAUGGACGACUCAUGACUGCACAAAAAGACCUCAUUGCUCCUUUCCUGUUUUCAUGUGGUUCUGGUCGUCCACUUUUGACCCUGAAAACGUGGGAACUGGAUGUCAAUGUCUUCAUAAGAAAUGUAGGUCUAUGUUUUAGCUUCGAAAUGCUAUAAAAUUCGCCUCAAUCCGAUAAGCGUAGCUCCAAUUAUGAUCAAAAUACCCGAGGAUGGCAAAGCUGCCUUUCCUUUUGUUCCCGAAUGCACUUUGCGAAGAUGCUAACCGUGAGAAACCAACUUUUAACUAACAUUUCUUCUAAUUUCCAAUCUUGUAAGCUUUCAUAAGUGAUAGCUACGAUUGUCCUAGGAUUUAAUGGCUAUACCUAGUUCCACGAGUAGAGUUAAACUAAGGUGAUUGAGUGACAAGUCACGAUAGUUGUAUAUGUAAAGUGGCUUCUAAUUAUUUAAUAUUGUUCUCAUGAAUAUUUUAAAGACUACUACUUUGAGGGGCUGGUAUAGUGGAAUAAAAACUUAAUUUCCAAAUAACUUAGAGUCUAAUUAAUUAAAAGGGAACCAAUGAAAUACUUCUAAGCCUUAAUUUUGGAAUCUUGAGUGGAAAAUGAUUUCAUCCUAAAAUAAAUAUCUUAUAAAUUAUUAACUUGGGGAAAACAGGUAUAAUUCUUUAUUAAAAAAAUAAAGUCAAUAAGUUUUAAAAUAAAAUGAUAAAUGAAUAUUGAAUAUGUUAUAUUUUGUACUUUAAAGUCAAACUUGAUUUUAAUAGUUCAAGUGAUAAAGUAAGAACAAUAAGUGAACAUCUACAAACUAUGUAUUUGAUUUGGAAUUAUGAACUUGUCCAGUAAGUAGCUGUGAACCAGAAAACCGACUCGAGACUCGAGAGUAAUUUAUUUGAUAUUUGGUGAGUGUUUUCCGAAUUUAUAUGUUAAACUGCUUAUGUGUACUUAAGUGAAAUUAUAUGACAAAUGUACGUAUUAUGAAAUAUUGCUAAGUGAUCCAUUACAAAGUGUAUCUCAAUUGUCCCUCGCUUUCUAAGUCGGGAGUGUACUUUAUCGCGCUUGGCUUAGUUAAGCUUGAAGGUUGAUAAUUGAUCAAGUGAUAUUGUAAGUGUGCAUGACUAUAAGCCAUGUAUGUACUUUAUCACACUGACUGAACUGGGCCCCAAAACCCUCUGUUCUGCGAACUAUUCGAGCCAGCAAAGGGCUUGGUCGAGUAGGACGGUAGCUUUAGGUAAGUGUUCGGUAUACUCGAGUAUUACCACAGAGUAGCAGAUCACUGAUAUUGAUAUGGCCAUCUAAGUGAGGGAAGUGUUUACUGUUUUGGAGGUUAUAAGGAGGAGUUCGGCGGAGUGUGUAGUGCAUUAAAGUGGCUCUAAUGCGAGUACCGUAUCCUUUUAAAAGUGAUUGUUCAGUGAAGUGUUUUCUCAAUUGCUUAAUAAAAGUGAUUGUACAGUAAAAUAUGUAUUACUUGCUUAAUUGUACUGAUUUAAGUGCUUAUUGAUUGUUGCUUGCAUGGAAACCUCACGGGCGUAAGUUCACCCUUUUAGCUUUGUUUUCCUUACAGGAGUUGGAGAUUGAAGAGUGAUUCGAUUGAACUAGAAAGUUAUUUUGGGAAGAUGCAUUACUCUGUGUACAUAGUGUAGUCAUGGUUUCUUUUGAAUUUUGAGACAGUUAAAUCUUUUGUUUGAGUUGGUGUGAUAUUAAGAAUGGAUAUUUAGAACAGCUAUUUUGUUUCUUUUAUUGGACAAAUUUAUGUUUCAAAUUGAUUGGAGAUGUACUUAAGAGUGAAUGUUCAGUUGUUCAAUGGUAAUGUUAUCUUUGAAGUUAAUGUGAGUGAGUGAGUCCUGGCGAGAGCCAGACAGGCGAUCCGCUAACUUCUAGGGUAUGCCCAAAGAGAAGGUGGCGUUGUC
rnacentral:lncRNA from 1 species